ensembl:lncRNA novel transcript
AAAAGGCAGUGUUCCCAUAAGAAAUAAUGGCAAAGAAAGGAACUCCCAGUCACAUUCAGCAAACCUGUUUUCCCAGCUACAUUCAUGCACUGGUUGAUGCAGAUACAUCAGACAGAUGGUAUACAUCUCUUCGUGACUCAAUCUGCUGAACGAUGCAACUGUCACAGUAUCCAACAGGCAGGGUCUUACUCUGUCACCUGGCCUGGAGUACAGUGGCACAAUCACGCUUCACUGCAGCCUCAACCUCCCUGGCUCAAGCGAUCUUCCUACCUCAGGCUUCCAAGUAGUUGGGACAGAUGAUGACAAGGGCUCAAGUGAUGACAGAUAGAAACCUGGGUCUGUGGAUGAUGGCAAAGAGGAG